rnacentral:rRNA from 1 species
UACGUAGGGUGCAAGCGUUAAUCGGAAUUACUGGGCGUAAAGCGUGCGCAGGCGGUUCGGAAAGAGCGGUGUGAAAUCCCAGGGCUUAACCUUGGAACUGCACUUGUGACUGCAUCGCUGGAGUGCGGCAGAGGGGGAUGGAAUUCCGCGUGUAGCAGUGAAAUGCGUAGAUAUGCGGAGGAACACCGAUGGCGAAGGCAAUCCCCUGGGCCUGCACUGACGCUCAUGCACGAAAGCGUGGGGAGCAAACAGG